CCUUCAAUUCCAUUCCCUUCAAUUCCAUUCCCUUCAAUUCCAUUCCCUUCAAUUCCAUUCCCUUCAAUGACAACAGCACCAGCACCAGUCAAAUCUCAACCUCUUCACAAUUUUCCUCUCUCUUUCCUCAAAUGGGGUGGCACCAGCACUUCCAAAAAUAACCACCCUACUUCCAACCACCACCACCGUCGCUUCCGCCGUCCAUCUUCCUCCUCCGACCUUCUCCCUCCUUCUUCCCCUGAUCAUCCUUCCGAGCCUGACUCCGAUCCUCCCCGCCACGGAUCCCGAACCUCCCGUAACAACCGCUUCGCUGUCCGUCAUUCUCCAAAACAAAACUCUAAUCACGACGAAACAGAUGACGAAGCUGCCGACAACAAGAAGCGCGGCGGUGACACCGAAGACGCUGUCGCUGAAGCUGAAGAAACUGUACAGAAGCCGUGGAAUUUAAGGCCACGGAGACAACCGGCUGUUCCGGUUAUCGCGAUCGGUGGGAAGAAUGGGAACGGGGAAGUUCAGGAACCGGUGCAUUCGGUUCGGGUGAGAGGAGAUACGUCGAUGAUGAUGAUGAUGCAGUGCGGUGAGAGGAAGAAGGAGGUGAAGAAGAGCAAGUUCUGGAUCGCGCUCUCGAAGGACGAAAUCGAAGAGGAUAUUUUUGUCAUGACAGGGUCUAGACCUAAUCGAAGGCCCAAGAAAAGGGCCAAAAAUGUUCAGAAACAAAUUGAUAGUGUUUUCCCUGGAUUAUGGUUGGUGGGGGUCUCUGCUGAUGCUUACAAGGUCGAAGAAACGCCAUCGAAGGUUCUCUCUUAGCUUCAUUGCAUUAUCGCUGUGUUGUAUGUGUAGAUAAGUUGUGGUCCAACCACAAUUGCAGUAGUUGUCAUUGCGUUGCAUUUACAAUGGUUCAACCCUAUCAUGAUUGCAACUGUGAUUGCAUUGGCCAAAAUUUGCUGCAUUUGUAAUGAAUGCAACACAAUCACAACUGCAAUAUAAAAUCAUGUGUGUUUUUGCUAUGUCCUGAUGAUUGCUUCAAUUCAUAAUUUUCUUUCUAAUUUUAUUGCUUUGCAUUGAGGAAAAUGAGCAGUGGAAGAUGUAUGCACACAUUUGUGUGUAAUUCUGUCUUUUAUGUGGGUGUAAGGUUUUAAAUUUGCAGGCAAUCACAAUUCUGGUGUUUUAGUUCUUUUCACAACCGCAUCUACAUUGCAAUUGUGGUUGCAUUGGCCAUAUUCCCCACAAUUGUUCACAAUCUAGUAAACGAAACAGAACUGCAGCCACAAUUUAAAACAACAUGCAUGUGUUUUUGCCAGGGCUUGAUGAUUGCUUCAAUUUAAUUUUUUUGUUGUUGCAAUUUUAUGAUAUUGUAUUGUGGAUGAAAAUGAACAUUUGAUGAUGAUUUUUCGCAGAGGUAGAGAAGCUGUGAAUUGAAUUGUAGCAUGUGAAAAAAGUUUAGAAUGCUUUUGGACAUGGUAAAUAGGAUCCGGGAUGGAUGGAAGCACAAAUGCACAGAACUUUGUAAGGGCAAAAUUAGUUAAUCUGCAAAACCCUCAAUUCAAAUACUGGGUUUAUCAUGGGAGGCAUUGCCAUGCUUCCUAUCUCUGGAAAAUGCCUUUGUCAGAAGAGCCCCAGUGAGGUUUAAGGUUUAAAUAUGAUUGCAUGCUUUUCUUACUUUCGUAUAUGUCCAUAUGUUUCUAAUUGUUAAUUUCAUUAAUCCGCUCCAUUAUAAUAAUUGCAUUGGUUCUCUCUACCAUAGCAUCAUUAGAUUUGCAUGAAGGCAAGCAUUUAUUCAAUCUCAAUGGAAAGCAAUGCUAAAAUGGUUUAAUGUUUAUUUAGUCGGGUGAUAGUUUAUCCAACCCAAUGGGUCAUGUUCUGAUAUGGAUUCUGGGGUGGUGCACUUGACCAAGUCUGAGCACUGUUUGAAAGCAACCUCCUCCAUGCACUGCAGCCCUCUGGUUGAAAGGGGGCACUUGCAAGUUGCAAAAAGGUAGUCUGAUGCUCAAGUUAGCCUAGGUGGCGGUGAGUUAGAAUGAACCUCUCUAAUUUGUAAUGAGAUGGGUUAUGUUUAAAAUGGACUUGUGUAGUUGUGCUUGACCAUGUUCCGGUCCAGAAGAGGUCAUGUCAGUAGUAGGACACUGGUCUAUUUACCUAGUUGUUUCUUUCUUUUUUGGGUUGAAUGUUAUACACUGUUACAAAAUUUCCCCUUCCGAGGAUAACAAAGGUGCCUUCUUUUCUGUGGUUCAUUUUCCUUGUGAGAAAAAGGUCUGUCAAGUUCAAACCAUCGCCUACUAUCUAAUUCGAGAUUUAUCUCAACAAGAAUUACAAUUUUCUUACUGUGUCAUGUUUAAUUGGUUUAUCGAUGGAUGGUGACAAAUAAUUGUGAAGGGCUAGUUCCCUAGUUUAGAAGGGAAAAAAACUUUCUGCUGCGUCACUUGUUUCGUAGUCUUUGCUUCUCUCAUUUGUGUAGGCUUCAGAACCUAACAGCUACUUAGCUCACUUCCAAAGAGAACACAGUUACCCAGCUUUUGUGUCCGUAGAUGAAUAGCCGAGUUUCUAAGUGCAAUGAUGAAAAUAGUGAAUGUGCCAUUUUAG
rnacentral:lncRNA from 1 species